GUGUGACAAUAUCUCGAUACAGCGAUAUAUCGCGAUAUUUUGCAACCCGAUGGGUUAUCGAUAUGCUCCCGCCAAGAAUCGAUACUUUUAUUUAACAUAUUGGCCAUACAAUGGAGUAUGGAUGCUGUAAACUGCUCAAUGUUUGUUGAGCAAUUCCUUGGCGGUCCACUAGGGGCGCUCGGGAGUGGCGGUGAGGGUAAAGUGCGCACAAGUUGUCUAGAGAAGAAGAGAAACUCCAAGUGGGUUGAAAAAAUAAAAAAGCUCCGUGAGAACGGUGGAGGGAAAAAAUGAGAAAAAUAUUGCUACAAAUCACACAUGGGGACACACUUUAGAUUUUACACCAACAAGAAAGGAAGCAAGGUGAACAAGGACUUUGCUGUAUGCAAGAAUUGUCUAAGAAAAAUAAGUUUCACUGGGAGCUGGUGACGUAGUGGACACUGGAGUUUGUGAGCUUUGCUUUCAUCACUUGAGGUGAGGAAGACUGUGACUGAGCAAGUCUGACAUCUUAAUUGCUGAAGCAGAUAGCGGAAGUGCUCAAACCAAGCAACAAAGUUCAUAUACGAAGAAAAGACCCACCAAUUUUAUCAUUGCCCCACUCCAAGCUCAACUGCUGACACCUACGGCACUUUUUAUUUAUUUUUUGAUCUCUCCAAGCGAUAUCAGUGGUCGUGGUUGGUUUCUUCUAUAUGUGCAGGGGCACAAUUUGCAGUAGAUUUAUAUUUUACAGCAAUGUUGCACAGAAAAGGUGUCACUGUUUAAUAAAUGACUUAAACAGUAUUUUUUUCUAUUUUCAAAUAUCUUUUUUUUUCCCGUUUCAACAGUUGUAUCGUAGAAUUUCAUGUAUCCAAUUUCUGACCAAUACAUCGAUAAUCGCUGUAUCGUGAUAUAAUCGUUAUCGUGAGCCUUGUAUCGCGAAUCGUAUCGUAUCGUGAGGUGCCCUGAGGUUCCCACUCCUAGUCAUCAAUAAGUGUAAAGCCCAUGGCACUGUGGCUAACCUCCCUAGAUGUAGACAGAAAAGAAAAAUUGACAAGAGAUUUCAACGAAAGAUUGUGCGGAUGGUGAAUAAACAACGUCAACUAACAUCCAAACAAGUUCAAGUUGUCCUGCAGUCUGAGGGUUCAACCCAUACUAUCCGUCAGCGUCUGAAUGAAAAGGGACUCUAUGGUAGGAAACCCAGGAAGACCCCACUUCUCACCCAGAGACAUAAAAAAGCUAGGUUGGAGUUUGCCAAAACUUACCUGAGAGGCUGAGAAAGCCAAAAACGUUUUGGAAAAAUGUUCUCUGGUCAGAUGAGACACAAAAGUAUAUCUUUUUGGGAAAAGGCAUCAACAUAGAGUUUAUAGAGAAAAAACCAAGGCCUUCAAAGAAAAGGACACCGUCGCCACAGUAAAACAUGGCGGAGGUUCCCUGAUGUUUUGGGGUUGCUUUGCUGCCUCUGGCAUUGGACUGCUCGACCGUGUGCAUGGCAUUAUGAAGUCUGAAGACUACCAACAAAUUUUGCAGCAUAAUGUAGGGCCCAGAGUGAGAAAGCUGGGUCUCCCUCAGAGGUCAUGGGCCUUCCAGCAGGACAAUGACCCAAAAGACACUUCAAAAAGCACGAGAAAAUGGUUUGAGAGAAAGCACUAGAGACUUCUAAAGUGGCCAGCAAUGAGUCCAGACCUGAAUUCCAUAGAACAUCUGUGGAGAGAUCUGAUAAUUGCAGUUUGGAGAAGGCACCCUUCAAAUCUCAGAGACUUGGAGCAGUUGGCCAAAGAAGAAUGGUCUAAAAUUUCAGCAGAGCAUUGUAAGAAACUUAUUGAUGGAUACCAGAAGCAGUUGUUCGCACUUAUUUUGUCUAAAAGGUUGUGCUACCAAGUGUUAGGCUGAGGGUGUUAAUACUUUUUCCAGCCCAUUUUUGGAGUUUUGUGUAAAAAAACAUAAAUCUUUUUUUUUUUUUCCCUUCUGUGUUUUUACAUUGCAAGCAAAAUAAAAGAUAUUACUACCAAA